ACCUUCGACCAUAUAAGCUAAUAGACGCGCCUUAUUAUAUGCUUGUAUAGGCACAAUUAUGUAGCCAUCAUAUUUAAUGAUAUGACGUCACGUUUGGGCAAAACAAUUUCGUGUUAUUAUUAGUUCGUUUAUUUGGCGUUCACUCGUUCACAGCGUUUGCCUUUUGCCAUUUGGAAGUUUGGAACACAUUUUUAUUAUCUUAUUGGCUAAUUAAUUAUUAAUAUAAUUAUUAUAAUUAAGCAUAUUAUUAUUUAAUAUUUAUUAUUCAUAUUUUCUAUAUAAUAUUAUAUUAUAUAAAAAAAAUGGUAAUUUCAUGUUCAGCAUAUAAUUGUACUCAAAGAUAUACUAAAGGAAUUUCAUUUCAUGGUUUUCCAAAAGAUGCUGAGUUAAAGAAAAAAUGGAUUCAUGUCAUGUGAAGAGAUAAUUUUACACCAAGCAAACAGUCAAAACUUUGUUCAAAACAUUUUACCAGUGGCUGUUAUAAUAUUAAUCCGUCUAGUUCUCAGAAGAAACUAAAAGAUAAUGCAAUACCUUCAAUAUUUGAUUUUCCUACUAGUUUUAAAAAAGAUAAAAAUCCUAGAAAACCUCCUGCAAACAGACAACAAAAUACUGCAGUUAAUAACUUAAAUGAUUCAUUGCAAAACCUUAAUCAAGAUUCUCAGAUAAAUAUUACAAAAACAAAGGGUAAAAGGUAUAUUGGUGAUUUUACUGAGGAUGAUAUGGUUUCAUCUGAAAAUAGCAAAAAGUUUUUAAAAUUAACAAUAAAAAAACUUGCGGCUAAAAAGAAGAAUAUUAAAACACUUCAGCAAUCCAAGCGUCGUCUUAUAAAAAAAAUUAAGGACUUGAAUUCAUUUGUUAGUCAUCUCAAGACCAAAAGUAUGAUAUCUGAAGAAGUCUCAACUAUACUAAGGGUAAUUUUAUUCUUUUAUUAUUAUUAGAUAGAGAAGAGCAAAGAAAUACAAUUUUAUGAUUUAUCUGUGUAAUUGUUAUUGUUAUUUAGUAAUUUAUUAAUAUAUAUUGUUAAAAAUAAUAAUAUGUAUUUGGAUAGAUGUGUAUUAAAAUUAAUGUUUUUAUUUGUGUUUUAAAAUAUUUUAGCUGUGGAUAUAAUAUGAACUAAUUUAUGAAAUGUAUAAUUUUUGUAGAAGGUACCUAUGUUGAUAUUGUAGAAAAAAAUUAAGAUGAUUUAUAUAUAUUUUUUGUAACAGUUUUUUUUUUAAAAAAAUGUGUGUUUAUUGUAUUUACUUUUAUCAAUAGUAUAGAUCAUAAAUUUAUAACAAAUAGUUUAGAAUUAAAUAAGUAGUAUACUUGGUAUAGUAUACUUAACAAACUGUAUCCUAUAAAGUAGUUAUAACUUAUAACCAAACUAAUUAAUAUCUAUAAUUUAUUGU